rnacentral:lncRNA from 1 species
UAAUUUAAGCACAAUCAUCCCCAAACUUAAAUCACACAUUAUCCUCAAUGUGUAAAGAACAAGAUAAAAGAGAAAAUGAAAGUUAACAAGGCUUUACUGAUUACACUUUGUGAAGAGGUACAAUACUUGAAUUGGACUUACGAUGCUUUCAAGGAACUUGGGCAAGUGACCUUCUUGUACACAAUAUACCCCUAUACUUCUGAUGAACCAUUUUUAUAUGUGACUUCAAGAAUUUCCUAUAAAAACAAUGAUAGCUAAUCAAAUAAAAAUAAGAAAAUGCAUAAAAUUAAAUAAAAAGAUUAAAAGUUAAAAAGUUGGAUUGCCUCCCAACAAAUGCUUUUUUAUAAUCAUUAGAUCAACUUUGAAAUUAAAUCACGGGCACCUAAAGAAGGCUUUGGAUGCUUGCCCAUUUUUCUUCUUUUUGCUUUGUUCAACUCUUCAUUUGAUCUUUAAAAUUCAACAUUGCCCCUUUUUUAUAUAAUAGGACUUGCCUUUUUUUAUCCAAUCCAAAUUCAACUAUGAAGAUCUAUGCAUCCAAAAUCAAUUUCUUGGCAAUCAACCAAGUUCGAAGAGUGUAAGUCGAUUUUUUCCUCAUUGAUGGCCAUAUCUUCGUUUAGCUCCGUUGUGAUUGAUUUUUCAUUCUCUUCAAACUCUUCUUCAAUGGUUGAUAUUUCAUCAAAUUGAAUGACCAGUCAGCCAUCAAACUCUACGAACAACGGCAAGUCUUUCCUAUUAACCCCAUUGAGUGGAUUAUACCCCCAUUGUUGAAAUCCAUCCCAAAUUUGUAAUCUCCCACAAGCAUGUCUUUUUCAUCCAACUUGACAACUUCAUUGUAAUAUUUUGCAAGUAUAUUUUCAUUUAAAAAUGGAUGACCAUCUCCCGAAAAUUUUAUGUCCUCAUCCCAAUCGUCAAGUGCAUAAUCUCUUGCGAGCAUGUAACUUUCAUUGGAAUUGUCAAGUGCUUGCUUUUUGUAUUUCAAAUAUUGUCUUGACAUUGAGGUAUCG